AGCAGCCGCGGUAAUUCCAGCUCCAAUAGCGUAUAUUAAAGUUGUUGCAGUUAAAAAGCUCGUAGUUGAACUUCGGGGUUUACCCAUUGGUCAGGCUUAAUUGUCUGUACUGGUGAGAUAAAUCUCUACCUUCUGAGGAACUUUCAUGUCAUUAAUUUGGUGUGAUUGGAAAUCAGGACUGUUACUUUGAAAAAAUUAGAGUGUUUAAAGCAGGCUAACGUCUGAAUACAUUAGCAUGGAAUAAUGAAAUAGGACGGACUGAUUCUAUUUCGUUGGUUUCUAGGAUCACCGUAAUGAUUAAUAGGGAUAGUUGGGGGCAUUAGUAUCCAAUUGUCAGAGGUGAAAUUCUUGGAUUUAUUGAAGACUAACUACUGCGAAAGCAUUUGCCAAGGAUGUUUUCAUUAACCAAGAACGAAAGUUAGGGGAUCGAAGACGAUCAGAUACCGUCGUAGUCUUAACCAUAAACUAUGCCGACUAGGGAUCGGACGAAGUUAAUUUUAUAAUGACGCGUUCGGCACCUUACGG
rnacentral:rRNA from 1 species